rnacentral:rRNA from 1 species
GACGAACGCUGGCGGCGCGCUUAACACAUGCAAGUCGAGCGAAGCGGCGGACGGGUGAGUAACACGUGAGUAACCUGCCUUAGACAUUGGGAUAGCCUCGGGAAACCGGGAUUAAUACCAAAUGGUGUAAGAUGGACUCGGGUACCAUUAGUUCGUUGGUGAGGUAAAGGCCCACCAAGGAGACGAGGAGUAGCCGGCCUGAGAGGGUGAACGGCUCCAUUGGAACUGAGAAACGGUCCAAACUCUACGGGAGGCAGCAGGGGGGAAUAUUGCACAAUGGAGGGAACUCUGAUGCAGCUACGCCGCGUGAACGAAGAAGGCUUUCGAGUCGUAAAGUUCUUUUAUAUGGGAAGCGUUACCAUAAGAAAAAGCCCCGGCUAACUACGUGCCAGCAGCCGCGGUAAUAC